GAAGAAAACUGUGAAAACGGUAAUAGAUGCCUAUUUGCACAUCUUCAUUGAAAAGCACAAGGCAAAUUGUCAACAUCCCCAAGAAGGCCCUCAUCCUUAUUGAUCCCUUUGGGAAAGAGGACUAUUAUUCAAGAAAAGUUCUCCACAACUGGAGGAACUACCUUAAAAGGAUGGAGAGAAGGGGCUGAGGCAUGGCAGGUGGAGACUGUGCACCACAAUAAACAGCAGGAUGCCAGUAGCUGCAGAGUUUUGGUUAUGAAGUUUGCAGAAAACUUCAUCACUGAGGAAUCCACAGAGGUCGUCACCACAGCGGAGGCUUUGCAUGAAUACAGGAAGCAGAUUGCCUGUAGCUGCUACAAAAUCCGGGCGAUGCAAAAGAUUACUGCAUAGUGUGCGCCCUGCUCGAGUGCGAUCCACAGCACAGCAUGAUUGGAAUGGUGCAGUUUGGGACAUGUCAUCGGUGGGCCCAUUUGGAAUGCGCCAAAUGGCCAAUAAGAUAACAACAAUCGCCUUGACAGAUGAGGAGGUGGCGUCCGUCAAGGCCACAUUUAAAUGUAUUAUCUGCAGAGAUCCAAUGAAGGAGCCUGUGGUGGGCGCAUGCUGCCGCAGCCUUAUUGGUUGCAGAACAUGCAUUGAUGAGUGGCUGAAUCAUGAGCCCAGUUGCCCCAAAUGCAGGGAUGGGGAAUUUCGGGUGAAAAGCUUCAUCCUGACCAGCAUUGAAGACACCCUGAAUAUUUUCAAAGACACUUUUAG